rnacentral:rRNA from 1 species
CGGGACGGGUGGGGAGUGUCUGGGAAACUGCCUGAUGGAGGGGGAUAACUGCUGGAAACGGUAGCUAAUACCGCAUAACGUCGCAAGACCAAAGAGGGGGACCUUCGGGCCUCUUGCCAUCGGAUGUGCCCAGAUGGGAUUAGCUAGUAGGUGGGGUAACGGCUCACCUAGGCGACGAUCCCUAGCUGGUCUGAGAGGAUGGCCAGCCACACUGGAACUGAGACACGGUCCAG